AUUGAACGCUGGCGGCAGGCCUAACACAUGCAAGUCGAGCGGAGCGGCGGACGGGUGCGGAAUACCUAGGACUCGGCCAGGUAGCGGGGGAGAACGAUCGGAAACGGACGCUAAUACCGCAAACUAUCAGCUGAGCCUAGGUCGGAUUAGCUAGUUGGUGGGGUAAAGGCCAUCAAGGGCGAAGAUCCCUACCUGGUCUGAGAGGAUGAUCAGUCACACUGGAACUGAGACACGGUCCAGACUCCUACGGGAGGCAGCAGUGGGGAAUAUGGGACAAUGGGCGAAAGCCUGAUCCAGCCAUGCCGCGUGUGUGAAGAAGGUCUUCGGGUUGUAAAGCACUUUAAGUUAGGAGGCGUUACCAACAGAAUAAGCACCGGCUAACUUCGUGCCAGCCGCCGCGGUAAUUC
rnacentral:rRNA from 1 species